UGCAAGAGGGGCCGCUGCAUCUUUCCAGCCCUGCUCAGUUCUUACUGGGGGGGUUAUCUUCUAUUGGCUUCCCGGCCGGCUUGGCUGGAGGGAGCAGUGAAGGGUCUGGCGAGACUUCGGAGCAUCAAGGGAGGUUCUCGCGGCGGGGGGAGGGAAGAGAUUGGCGUGGCAAUCAGACUGUUGCCCCCCUUUCCCCACCUGCAGUGUGAAAGUAAAAUUGGCUGGAAACAGAAGUGAAACCGACCAGUCUGUUUUCACUCUACCAGGUACAGCAUGGGGAACUGCACAGCCGGCUUCCCCCACAGCACAUCACCAAUAUGUCUCUCCCCAUAACUGGAGUAGAGAUAGGAGAAUCCAGACUCUGGAGUCCAUUCGUUCCUUGGCCUCUCUCCUGACACUGCCAAUGCGGAGGCCAACGGCAGUGCCAGGUUCUGUGGAAUCGACUGAGAAACCACCGAAUAAUCGUUUGACGGUCCUAUCUUCGCUAUACCUAGAACCUCGGUUGUUUCCUGGGGCCCAUGUGCUGCAGCUCAUCUCCAGCAGGAGGUGCCGUGCUCAGUGGGUAACACAAUGAGGUCAUCUGCAUAGGGAAGACAGUCCCAGAUUUGGGGCACAGAAGGGGAUAACACAGGCCUGUCGCCGCUGGAUGCAUGAGAAGCAUGAGGAAGAAGCUGCAGCCCAGCUCUUCUCCCCUCUCUUGUUUGAAGACGCUGGUUUGCACAAUGUCUGUUUACAUCCUGCUGACAGGCAGGGACACGGAUUCAGCUUUGCCCUGAAAUCCACAUUGCAGGACUUCAGAGGGCAGCUUGGCUGGGGGCAGCCCUACACGUCCGCCUUCACUCUGGGAGACAGAUGGAGAGUUUCCUUCUCCUUUGCUUUUGUUUUCUGGGUGCUCCUCAAUAAGUGUCUCUGGGUUGUAGAUGUCUUGUCCUGCCGCCACCUCUGUCAUUACUCGGGUCCACUCAGGUCCUUUCCCAGUGUAACCGCUCCCCCGAGGCGGGUCCAGAGAAGUGUCUGAAUUGGACCUGCCUUGUCUUGGGUUGUGCCAGCCCCUGUCCCAUCCUUCCUCCAGGCUGCAGCGCUUUCUGCAGGUUCGUUGUCCCCGCCCCAUCCCCCACCUUUCUCCCCUCCCCCUGAUACCUUAGCUUUCCCGGGUUCUCAGGGCCCCAAUCCCUUUCCCCUGCUCCUGACUCCAGGGAGCCCCAUCCUUGAGCUGGCGAUGGGAGAGGAGCAGCUCUCUGCUGCCCACUAGUGCCAGCAGCUGGAACUCCCAGCUGGCAGGGGUUUGGGUUGCAGCGCGUCCUUUCACACAUAUCUGCAGGGCAGCCUUUCCUCACACACCCCAAAAGGAUCUCCAGGAGCUAACUCCUUCGGGGUGGGGGGAUCCUGGGAGCUAAUCCUGAAAGCUCCAGGCACGCAGCAUUGCAAGGAUCCCCAGUGGCUGCUCUGGGGGAGUCACACAAGCCCCCGUUCCAGGAGCAGCUGCUGUGGAUGUUACCGUGGCGCCUGCAUCCCAAAGCCCUUCCUGUCGUCGAGCCGAUCCGGCUGCAUCCGUACCUGGUGAUGGGAACACGCGGCUGGGGACGGGCCAUUUAUUUCCGUCUCUCAGAGCAGCCAUCUGGCCUGGCUUGUGAGAUGACGGGAAGCCGAGGUCCCGGCUACUUGUGGCCAUGACAGAUCCCAUAGCGCUUCCCACACACAGAAUGGGGUCUGCCCUAGCCUGAGACCCUCUGCCUCCCGCACUCUCCUCUGCUUUCCCCAAUGGCUGCGGGGCCCUUUGCAGCAGCCGGGGGGGGCAGACACUGGUAAGCCUCUGCAUGUUCCACGCCAGGGGGGCUGAUGACGCAAUCUUACCUACCUCCCUGCUGGCAAGGAGCAUACGUACUGGUAGUUGCUGGAUGUUUCUGCCCACUGGCCCGUUUGUUUCGCCUGUGGAGCCCUGCUGGCCCCCUGCCCGUGUCUCUUGUCCUCCCUCCGGGUCUCCCCCCAGCCCCAUGGCUGCGCUGACAUGCUCUCCCUCAGCGGUUGCAGCCUCAAACCAGCCUUAAUUCCAUGCUGUCCCUACGGGGCCCUGAUUGGCAGCUGCCCUCCAGCGGGCUAGGGCACCGUCACAGAGACAGGUUGGGGGCCAGCAGGGGGGCUGGCUCCUAAGCUGCACUGAGUUGAAUUCGAGGCCUGCCUGCAGGAGGGGGCGACUCCAGGACAAGAACCCUUUGCAGCAGUCCUUGGCUUAGUGCAGCUCCCGGGCCCCUGGGGCCAUUCUGGUGGGAUGAGAGUUGGAAGGGGGGGGGGGUGCGGGUCACACCCCACCAGCUGGACGUUCCCUGACCUGCAGCCCAAUGCAAAUUGCAGGCAGCUCUUGAGACAAGGGGUCGACGAGGUGCUGGGUGGGGGGGAAAGGCUGGAGAGAGCCCCCGCCCCCCCCCAGGGUGGGACGUGGGGGACACGCUCCCUUCAUUUCCCUGCCCUUUGGGCCCCCAUCUGCCAGUGCCUGCUCUUGUGAGCCUGCAUGGCCUGGGAGGGCUCUGGGGUGGUGCGUCUGAGGGCUGAAGGGUCUGUGGGGGAGGUGGCCCAAUGCGGGGG